CCUACGGGUGGCUGCAGUGAGGAAUAUUGGUCAAUGGGCGCAAGCCUGAACCAGCCAAGUCGCGUGAGGGAUGACGGUCCUAUGGAUUGUACACCUCUUUUGUCGGGGAGUAAGUCCCGCCACGUGUGUCGGGAAGGAGAGUACCCGAAGAAAAAGCAUCGGCUAACCCCGGGCCUGCAGCCGCGGUAUUACGGAGGAUGCGAGCGUUAUACGGAUGUAGUGGGUUUAAAGGGUGCGUAGGCGGAAGGUUAAGUCAGCGGUCAAAUGUCGGUGUUCAACACCGGCCUGCCGUUGAAACUGGUCUUCUUGAGUGAGCGAGAAGUAUGCGGAAUGCGUGGUGUAGCGGUGAAAUGCAUAGAUAUCACGCAGAACUCCGAUUGCGAAGGCAGCAUACCGGCGCUCAACUGACGCUGAGGCACGAAAGCGUGGGGAUCGAACAGGAUUAGAUACCCCUGUAGUC
rnacentral:rRNA from 1 species